rnacentral:rRNA from 1 species
ACUUAAGCAUAUCAAUAAGCGGAGGAAAAGAAACCCACAGGGAUUGCCCUAGUAACGGCGAGUGAAGCGGCAACAGCUCAAAUUUGAAAUCUGGCCUUCGGGUCCGAGUUGUAAUUUGUAGAGGAUGCUUUUGGCGCGGUGCCUUCCGAGUUCCCUGGAACGGGACGCCUUAGAGGGUGAGAGCCCCGUACGGUUGGACACCAAGCCUCUGUAAAGCUCCUUCGACGAGUCGAGUAGUUUGGGAAUGCUGCUCUAAAUGGGAGGUAAAUUUCUUCUAAAGCUAAAUAUUGGCCAGAGACCGAUAGCGCACAAGUAGAGUGAUCGAAAGAUGAAAAGCACUUUGAAAAGAGGGUUAAAUAGCACGUGAAAUUGUUGAAAGGGAAGCGUUUGCGACCAGACCUUUUCUUAGCGGAUCAUCCGGUGUUCUCACCGGUGCACUUCGCUAAGUUUAGGCCAGCAUCGGUUUCUGUAGGGGGAUAAAAGCACUGGGAACGUAGCUCCUUCGGGAGUGUUAUAGCCCUAUGCAUAAUACCCUUAUGGGGACCGAGGACCGCGCUUAGGCAAGGAUGCUGGCAUAAUGGUCGUCAACGACCCGUCUUGAAACACGGACCAAGGAGUCGAACAUUUAUGCGAGUGUUUGGGUGUUAAACCCUCACGCGUAAUGAAAGUGAACGGAGGUGAGAGCCCUUACGGGUGCAUCAUCGACCGAUCCUGAUGUCUUCGGAUGGAUUUGAGUAAGAGCAUAACUGUUCGGACCCGAAAGAUGGUGAACUAUGCGUGGAUAGGGUGAAGCCAGAGGAAACUCUGGUGGAGGCUCACAGCGGUUCUGACGUGCAAAUCGAUCGUCAAAUCUGCGCAUGGGGGCGAAAGACUAU